rnacentral:rRNA from 1 species
UACGUAGGGUGCGAGCGUUAAUCGGAAUUACUGGGCGUAAAGCGUGCGCAGGCGGUGAUGUAAGACAGUUGUGAAAUCCCCGGGCUCAACCUGGGAAUUGCAUCUGUGACUGCAUCGCUAGAGUACGGUAGAGGGGGAUGGAAUUCCGCGUGUAGCAGUGAAAUGCGUAGAUAUGCGGAGGAACACCGAUGGCGAAGGCAAUCCCCUGGACCUGUACUGACGCUCAUGCACGAAAGCGUGGGGAGCAAACGAGGAUUACGAAACCCCGAG